AAUACCUUCCUAUACACAGGUGAAAGCAAAAAUUGUAGCCAAGACAAACAUUCCAGUAGGCUGCUCAGCAGCCAAAAAAAAAAAAAAAUAGAAACAGCAGCAUUUGAGAACCUGAAAAUCAGCAGUCUCACCUUCGGAAUCUACAGCAACGGUAUCCAUGACAACCAUAAAUAAAUUGUUCCUUAGGUUGUCUAUAGCCUCAGCGUUAAUCCACUGCAAUUCAUGGGAUCAUUGCACACCACUUUUGGCUAAAGCAUCAACAUUGCCAUUCGAGGAACGCGGAACGUAUCAUAUUUGCCAUUGCUGAACAUGGUCAAGAGCUUUCAUAAUCUGCAUGACUAGUUUUCUUAAUCUUCAGGGGGACAUUGUGGGGAUUGUGGAUCCAUUUAACAACAUUAAGGGAGUCACAUUAUGGGACCUUACUGCCCAGGUUUUCUUAAGCCGCUCUAGUCCUCUAAGAUUCCAAAAAAUAACUAUGGGAAAAGCCACUUACACAAAGAUAAAUAGGUGACACCAAACACAAAGGAAAUAAUAUGGAAAAUCAUAUGUAACCACAUACCUCAAGAAGUGUUGGAAUUCAAUCUCAUGCUCAAACAUGAAAAUAAUUAAUAAAUUAAAAUAAUAUAACACAGUGAAAAAAUAAAUUAAUAUUUAAUCAGAGAAACAGUCGAAUCUUACAAGAUCAAUAUUUGUGUUUUUCAUGUAACUUUCAAAUUAAUUAUGAACACUCAUAAGUUUAAGAGUUACAUAAUUUGCUCUAAAUAUCGUAAUCAAAAGUCAAUUAAAUUAAAAUAUUUACUUCUUCACCUUUAAGAUUUAUCAAAUUUUCAGCUACCCAAGUGUUUGGCCUCUAACAGUAAUCCACACAGUGACCGAAU
rnacentral:lncRNA from 1 species